UUCCUCGUCGUCUAAUCGGUAGGACAGUGGAUUUUGAUUCCGCCAAUCUUGGUUCGAACCCAAGCGAGGAAGCCA
rnacentral:tRNA from 1 species